rnacentral:lncRNA from 1 species
AGGAAUGUUCUCAAAGACGAGACACGAAUCACGACCUUCAAAAAAUAUUUCGAGCAGAUGAGGCUUUACAAAAAAGAUCAGUCUAACCAGAACCAAUAACAUUUUAACCCUAAACUGAUUUCAGUCAGUGUUGCGAUCAAAUUCCAAGCUGCUCCGUUCAAAUGUUCCAACUUUGAACACGAAGUAUCAAGAUAAACACGGGUAAAUUACAUUUGCACGGCUUUAUAAUUCAAGCCACGAAUGCUGACCGCGUGCGUUCCGUAUCUCUCGGUGGACAAAAAGUUCCAAGCCGUUAGUGAUU